rnacentral:rRNA from 1 species
AACGAACGCUGGCGGCAUGCCUAACACAUGCAAGUCGAACGAGGCCUUCGGGUCUAGUGGCGCACGGGUGCGUAACGCGUGGGAACCUGCCCUUAGGUUCGGAAUAACUCCCCGAAAGGGGUGCUAAUACCGGAUAAUGUCUUCGGACCAAAGAUUUAUCGCCUUUGGAUGGGCCCGCGUUGGAUUAGCUAGUUGGUAGGGUAAAAGCCUACCAAGGCGACGAUCCAUAGCUGGUCUGAGAGGAUGAUCAGCCACACUGGGACUGAGACACGGCCCAGACUCCUACGGGAGGCAGCAGUGGGGAAUAAUGGACAAUGGGCGAAAGCCUUAUCCAGCAAUGCCGCGUGAGUGAUGAAGGCCUUAGGGUUGUAAAGCUCUUUUACCCGGGAUGAUAAUGACAGUACCGGGAGAAUAAGCUCCGGCUAACUCCGUG